AGCUUGCUCCCCCCGAUCAGUGGCGAACGGGUGAGUAACACGUGAGUAACCUGCCCCAGACUCUGGGAUAACAUCGGGAAACCGGUGCUAAUACCGGAUAUGAGACGAGAUUGCAUGAUCAUCGUCUGGAAAGAUUUAUCGGUCUGGGAUGGACUCGCGGCCUAUCAGCUAGUUGGUGAGGUAAUGGCUCACCAAGGCGACGACGGGUAGCCGGCCUGAGAGGGCGACCGGCCACACUGGAACUGAGACACGGUCCAGACUCCUACGGGAGGCAGCAGUGGGGAAUAUUGCACAAUGGGCGCAAGCCUGAUGCAGCAACGCCGCGUGGGGGAUGAAGGCCUUCGGGUUGUAAACCCCUUUUAGCAGGGAAGAAGCGAAAGUGACGGUACCUGCAGAAAAAGCGCCGGCUAACUACGUGCCAGCAGCCGCGGUAAUACGUAGGGCGCAAGCGUUGUCCGGAAUUAUUGGGCGUAAAGAGCUCGUAGGCGGUUUGUCGCGUCUGCUGUGAAAGUCCGAGGCUCAACCUCGGAUCUGCAGUGGGUACGGGCAGACUAGAGUGUGGUAGGGGAGACUGGAAUUCCUGGUGUAGCGGUGGAAUGCGCAGAUAUCAGGAGGAACACCAAUGGCGAAGGCAGGUCUCUGGGCCAUAACUGACGCUGAGGAGCGAAAGCGUGGGGAGCGAACAGGAUUAG
rnacentral:rRNA from 1 species